CGGCGGACGGGUGAGUAACGCGUGGGUAACCUACCCUGUACACACGGAUAACAUACCGAAAGGUAUGCUAAUACGGGAUAAUAUAUUUGAGAGGCAUCUCUUAAAUAUCAAAGGUGAGCCAGUACAGGAUGGACCCGCAUCUGAUUAGCUAGUUGGUAAGGUAACGGCUUACCAAGGCGACGAUCAGUAGCCGACCUGAGAGGGUGAUCGGCCACAUUGGAACUGAGACACGGUCCAA
rnacentral:rRNA from 1 species